rnacentral:rRNA from 1 species
AGAGCCCCGUCCAGCCCAUUCAGGACGUCUCGCACAAGAGUUAUCAUUCGAGUCGGGUAGCUUGGGAAUGCUGCUCUAAUUGGUGGUAAAUCUCAUCAAAGGCUAAAUACCGGUGGGAGACCGAUAGUGAACAAGUACCGCGAGGGAAAGAUGACAAGCACUUUGAAAAGAGGGUGAAAAGAGCCUGAAACCGUUACGGGGGAAGCGGAUUGCGUUGGAUUGGUGGCUGUUUGCAUGUUCAGCCUUUUUUGGUGUACUCAUGCCUGCAGUUAUCCGUCGUGGCUUUCUUGUAGCUGAUUUUGAGCUGCAGGAGGGUGAGGGAUCCCCUUUAUGGGUUGAGGACGACGGAGUGACGACGCGAUACGACCCGUCUUGAAACACGGACCAAGGAGUCUAGCACUAUUGCAAGUCGAAGGGUGUUAAAACCUGUGGGCGCAGUGAAAGCAAACUCUAAAACGAGCAGUUUGAGGCGGCAUAAAAUCGUUGAUUUUAGGUCUGACCUAGAGCAGUUGUGCUGGGACCCGAAAGAUGGUGAACUAUGCCUGAGUAGGGCAAAGCCAGAAGAAAUUCUGGUGGAGGCUCGUAGCGGUGCUGACGUGCAAAUCGCUCGUCGAACUUGGGUAUAGGGGCGAAAGACUCAUCGAACCAUCUAGUAGCUGGUUCCCUCCGAAGUUUCUCUCAGGAUAGCAGGUCGACAGACGUUGUUUUGUGCGGUAAAGCGAAUGAUUAGCGCAAUCGGGGGCGUUUAGCCUUCGGGCGAUUCUCAAACUUUAAAUGCGCAAGGGUACCGGU